rnacentral:rRNA from 1 species
UGCAGAGGUCUCAAGCGUUGUUCGGAUUCAUUGGGCGUAAAGGGUGCGUAGGCGGCGCGGUAAGUCGGGUGUGAAAUCUCGGAGCUUAACUCCGAAACUGCAUUCGAUACUGCCGUGCUUGAGGACUGGAGAGGAGACUGGAAUUUACGGUGUAGCGGUGAAAUGCGUAGAUAUCGUAAGGAAGACCAGUGGCGAAGGCGGGUCUCUGGACAGUUCCUGACGCUGAGGAGCGAAAGCGUGGGGAGCGAACAGG